rnacentral:rRNA from 1 species
ACCUUACCAGGUCUUGACAUCGAGUGACGGACAUAGAGAUAUGUCUUUCCUUCGGGACACGAAGACAGGUGGUGCAUGGUUGUCGUCAGCUCGUGUCGUGAGAUGUUGGGUUAAGUCCCGCAACGAGCGCAACCCUUACCAUUAGUUGCUACGCAAGAGCACUCUAAUGGGACUGCCGUUGACAAAACGGAGGAAGGUGGGGAUGACGUCAAAUCAUCAUGCCCCUUAUGACCUGGGCGACACACGUACUACAAUGGCGGUCAACAGAGGGAGGCAAAGCCGCGAGGCAGAGCAAACCCCUAAAAGCCGUCUCAGUUCGGAUUGCAGGCUGCAACUCGCCUGCAUGAAGUCGGAAUUGCUAGUAAUCGCGGAUCAGCAUGCCGCGGUGAAUACGUUCCCGGGCCUUGUACACACCGCCCGUCACACCAUGAGAGCCGGUAACACCCGAAGUCAAUAGUCUAACCGCAAGGAGGACAUUGCCGAAGGUGGGAUUGGUAAUUGGGGUGAAGUCGUAACAAGGUAGCCGUAUCGGAAGGUGCGGUUGGAUCACCUC